rnacentral:rRNA from 1 species
UACGUAGGGUGCGAGCGUUAAUCGGAAUUACUGGGCGUAAGGCGUGCGUAGGCGGUUCGUUAAGUUCGUUGUGAAAGCCCCGGGCUCAACCUGGGAAUGGCAAUGGAAACUGGCGGGCUGGAGUAUGGCAGAGGGGGGUGGAAUUCCGCGUGUAGCAGUGAAAUGCGUAGAGAUGCGGAGGAACACCGAUGGCGAAGGCAGCCCCCUGGGCCAAUACUGACGCUCAGGCACGAAAGCGUGGGGAGCAAACAGG